UACGUAGGCAGCGAGCGUUGUUCGGAAUUACUGGGCGUAAAGAGCGUGUAGGCGGUGCUCUAAGUUCGGUGUGAAAUCUCCCGGCUUAACUGGGAGGGUGCGCCGGAAACUGGAGUGCUUGAGCGCGGGAGAGGAAAGCGGAAUUCCUGGUGUAGCGGUGAAAUGCGUAGAUAUCAGGAGGAACACCUGUGGUGUAGACGGCUUUCUGGACCGUAGCUGACGCUGAGACACGAAAGCGUGGGUAGCAAACAGG
rnacentral:rRNA from 1 species